rnacentral:rRNA from 1 species
UACGUAGGUGGCGAGCGUUGUCCGGAUUUACUGGGCGUAAAGAGCGCGCAGGCGGUCGUACAAGUCGCGUGUGAAAGCCCCCGGCUCAACUGGGGAGGGUCACGCGAUACUGUUCGACUCGAAGGCAGGAGAGGGAAGCGGAAUUCCCGGUGUAGUGGUGAAAUGCGUAGAUAUCGGGAGGAACACCAGUGGCGAAGGCGGCUUCCUGGCCUGUUCUUGACGCUGAGGCGCGAAAGCUAGGGGAGCAAACAGG